AGAGUUUGAUCCUGGCUCAGAUUGAACGCUGGCGGCAUGCCUUACACAUGCAAGUCGAACGGCAGCACGGGGGCAACCCUGGUGGCGAGUGGCGAACGGGUGAGUAAUACAUCGGAACGUGUCCUGUAGUGGGGGAUAGCCCGGCGAAAGCCGGAUUAAUACCGCAUACGCUCUACGGAGGAAAGGGGGGGAUCUUAGGACCUCCUCGCUACAGGGGCGGCCGAUGGCAGAUUAGCUAGUUGGUGGGGUAAAGGCCUACCAAGGCGACGAUCUGUAGCUGGUCUGAGAGGACGACCAGCCACACUGGGACUGAGACACGGCCCAGACUCCUACGGGAGGCAGCAGUGGGGAAUUUUGGACAAUGGGGGCAACCCUGAUCCAGCAAUGCCGCGUGUGUGAAGAAGGCCUUCGGGUUGUAAAGCACUUUUGUCCGGAAAGAAAAC
rnacentral:rRNA from 1 species